CAAAAAUCACUAAGCUGGUCGAUUGCGGAAAAACUGCAUCAAUCACUAUUACAAUCUCAAUUGUUGUGAUUGGCUGAAUUUGUGGUAUUCUUGUUGUAACAAUGCAUUGCAGCCAAUGAUGAUCGAGCGUCAACCAAUCAAAGGUGAUUGCGAUAGUGAUAUCAUGGCUGUCAUAUUACCGCAAUCGCGCAGUGUUG